rnacentral:rRNA from 1 species
UACGGGGGGAGCAAGCGUUGUUCGGAUUUACUGGGCGUAAAGGGCGCGUAGGCGGCCUCCGCAGGUCAGUUGUGAAAUCUCCGAGCUUAACUCGGAAAGGUCAACUGAUACUGCGGGGCUAGAGUGCGGAAGGGGCAACUGGAAUUCUUGGUGUAGCGGUGAAAUGCGUAGAUAUCUGGAGGAAUACCGGUGGCGAAGGCGGCAUCCUGAACCGACAUUGACGCUGAGGAGCGAAAGCUAGGGGAGCAAACGGG